UCAGGUUUCCCUUCAUAUUACACGUGCUAAUCUUUCGCCUUUUACUAAAGAUUACCGUGGAGGGGACUAUCUUUUUACCUCGCGGCUUUUUAGCUGGGAGUAAGUGCCUUUAUUG